rnacentral:lncRNA from 1 species
GCAAGGUACUGCUUUGCCAUUUUAAAAAGAUAUUUAGUUGAAAGGAAGCUGUGAUUGGAUUUAUGUGACUUCCCUUUGCAAAAUUAUGGAGUGUAUCCAUUUAGGAAACAUCAAGAACUGGGUUAGAGGUCUACAGGGGAAUUUCUCUGUGUGUUACAUUUAUAUUUGCCAAGUUUGUAUCCUCUGUUAAGCUAUUUUUUAGGCACGACAAAACGGAGCUCAUUAGCAAUGAGCAGCAGAUUUUUUUUUAUAUGGCUGUGCUUUUUAUUCUCUAUUGGGUUUGGUUCUUUUUUUUUUUUAAGAUGUAUUUAUUUUAGAGAGAGUUGUGGGGGUGGGCAGAGAGGGGUGGCAGGUGGAGGAGAAAGUUUUUAAGCAGACUCUGCAUUGUGUGUAGAGCCUUACUUGGGGCUCAAUCUCAUGACCUGAUCUGAAACCAGGAGUUGAAGGCUUAACUGAGUGCACCACCCAGGCACCCCUCAUUUGAUUAUUUUCUGAUGAAACCUUUUGAAUAAUGCUGAGGCUUUACAAUAGGACAGGCAGUCUAGUCACUCUGCUUUGUGAUGGAACCUCAGUGUGUGCGUGUGUGUGUGUUGAAAGAGCAGCGCAAAGAACUGUAACACUUUGGGUCCCAGGCAGCUAUGCUGUGGAACAUCCUUAACUGAACAUGACCCUGGAAAGAUGACCAAGGGAAUCUUCUUCCCACUUCCAGAAAGAACCCUGACAAUGACACAUAAUGAGAUGAGGAGACAAUGGGAACAAGGUAAUCAUCACACCUUGGAACCUUGAAUAAGAGGGCAAGGGAGAGAGAUUCAAGCAUGCAUUAUCUAGCUAAAUCAGGAAAAGGUCUUGGCCACAGCUCACUGCUUCAGCGACUACCUCGAGGCCAGCUGGGGACCGACAGUCUCAGACACCGGCCAGUUGCCACAGAUGCAAUUGCUUUGAAAAGCAGGCUCCCGUCACCACUAACCUCAUGCAGAAGAAAUGAAAAUGGGAAACGUGGUGAUAUUUUAUUCAGUUUCCUCUGGCUCGUUCUAGGAAACAGAACCGAGGCAAAGGACGAUUGGAAUGAAAUGAGGUUUUCUUUUUAGCAAAUAAAUAUUCCAUAUGCAGAAGCA